CGGGAAAAAACCUUGCGCGCGCGGGAAGCGGAUAGGGAGCUGCGCGCGGGGGAAAUCGCGGGAUAUACCCCGCGCGGGCACGGCGCACGCCCCUGCGCGGGCGGGAAAUCGAGAGAGGAGGGAAGAGAGGAGGGCGGCGGCCGGACCUGGAAUCCGGCGGCGCGGCCCCUCCAUAGUCCAUCCAGCCACUGGUUCCUCUGCUCUGCCUCCUCACGCGGCUCUGCCCCUCUGCUUCCUCUGCUUCGUUCGCCUGCAGAUCUGCGCUUCCACGACUCACCUCUGCAGCUCUUCCCCUCAAGGAUUCGUGGCUGCUAGCUCUGCUCCAAGGAUUCGUGGCUGCUUGCUCUGCUCCACCUCACGUCAGCUCAGAGUCAGAGCCAUAAGCAUGCCAUGUGAUUGAGUGAUUCUUUUCCUGAUGCCCGAGAUGUAGCUGCAGCUUGCUGUCUGGGGAAAGAAAAGUGAGUUCAGAAUUCAGAUCAUACAAAGGGGAUGCAUGCUACAUGAAACAAGCCAACAAGGGCUGCUGGAUAGAGGAGGAUCAGUGGUACAUGUGCUCCAGAACAGGAACCAAAAAUGUAUGUAUGUGCAUGUUUGUGCUGCCUCUAUUUUAGAUGAGGGUAUGUGUAUGGCGUCGCCUCGCCGCGCGCCUUAUUCGCCUAGGCGUCUGGAAGGGGGUGGGUCGCCGCACCUCGCCUUUCCUCCUUAAAAA